CUGCCGUUUCUUCUUUCUCUGUUCCUCUGACAAUGCUUUCCUAGCUUUCUGCUUCUUUUUUUCCAGCUCAGCCAUGACGAUAGUGUGAAAAACUCCAUUGCUACCUUCUUCUUAUAGCUAGCUGGCGUAGUUGUGUGUGUGUGUGUGUGUGUGUGUGUGUGUGUGUGUGUGUGUGUGUUUGUGUCAGUGUCCUGUCUGCAGCUACUCUGCCUUCUCCUCUCUCUUAUGGUUUCCCUGCACUUUGUCUGUUUGCUGGUUCCCCUCAGAUCAACUGCAAAGUGUUUAAGUGUACAGGACAGCAUGGUUUCCCUCUGUUCUUUUAGCCCGGUCAUGCGUCUACCACAGAGAAUUUCUGUCUGAGCCGAGGCAAUUACAGCACACAUCCAAAGCCAUCUUAGCCAGGAACCAAAUGAAGGGGCCUUUGAUAGGCCUCUACUGAUGCAUAUUUACUUUUUACGACCAACCAAGUUGUAAACAGCUUUGACUUGUUGGCGCUAGAGCGAGACUUUAAAUCCAGGCCUGUUCACGAACAAACAAACACACACAUCAUGCCUGCACACAAAUAGAAAAAGAUUUUUCAAGAAAUCAAGAGAAAACUAUACAGCAAUCUCCGCUGCCAAUUCAGCGAACACCACAGAAAUAUCCAACACUAAGUGACACUGCCAGUUCGAUUUGUUUGCCAGUCACUGAUUUCAUAAUCAGGUUUGUCGAGCUAUGCCUGGCUGUUAUAUUUUUUGUUUUUUGGAGCUGCAGACACAGCAGCAGCAGCAGUAGCCUCCAAUUGAAGCCAUGUGUGGUGGAAAAACAGGCCUCAGUUUGUGGAGAGAUUGCAUGCUUGGAGUGGGAGGGAGCCUGCUGGUCAUGGAGGUCACGGUCCUAACACACCAACUCCUCUUGGCCUUCUCACACUCCAUGCUGACAAAUGCAUCUCAUAAGUCAGUCAGGAAUCCUUCCCAAACAUCCUUCACUCCGUCCUUACCUAAAAAUGUAUUACUAGAUUCUGCUGCUUUUAUUUUACAACAUUUAUGGCACAACUUUUGGAAUAAUGCCAAUCAAAUAGAGGCAAGAAGGAAAGAACUCCUCGUGAGCUUUUGUUCUUAUACUGUCGGUGCAAGAACACUGCGUUCAGAGUGUGCUACAAAUAAAAAAAGGGGUUGGUUUAGUUGAGUCUGGUAUGAAACAUUAUCAGAGUUAGCUCUACUAAUAGCACUGAAACACAUCCCAGUGUCCUCAGAUGAACCCUACAGUCCAAUGUUGUGUCUGAGUUUAUUUCCUCCACCGCUACGUCAUCACACACACUCUCACACACAAAUACUGUAUGCAUCUCUUUUAUCUUUCUUAAUUUUACCAUCUUUUGUACGUUACUUCUACACCACCUCCCUGUAUUCUCAGGUUCUUUCUGAGAGUCUUUCCCUUCUAGUCAUAAUGUUAUCAGCGUAGCCACGGCUAUUAGCUAAUAGCUGAGAUAGCUACUAAUAUCAGAUUCAGAGAUAGCCUACGCCAGACUUUAAUGCAGCUGUGCCAUUUCCUCUCAUGCCUUAUAAUGGAUCAUGUUCCUGUCAGCGCAGAGGCCCAGAUCAUUUUUUUCAUUUCUCCAUUGUUCCUAUAAGAGGUGAGUCAUUGAGACAUUUAUUUAUUAUUUGAUCAAGUACUUUUUGACAUUAAAUUCCUAAAUCUGUUUAGUCUCAUAUGUCUGAUUCUGUUUCAGUUCUAAAAAAAGGUUGGAAAUGAUUGAUUUUGCAUGAAAUUACAUCCCCGCCAAAAUUACAUUAACGCUAUGCAAAGUGGAUUAUUGUUAAUGGGACAUGAGAAAAAAGCUCCUGCUCGAUGCCUGCUCUCUUCAUCAGUCUCAUGGCAGGGCUGGUUUAUCAGGACUGAGUGAUCUAAUGAGCUUAAUAAUGAAGCCCAGACCCAACAAGCUCUGGUAAUGACUUUUUAAUGCUCAUGGGGUCUUUAGUUACCUACAGAGGUGUGAUUGGUUGAGAAAGGGGCCUCAUGUUUUAUCUCUCUGAUCAAUUCUAACACUGUCCGAUGUGGCAACUCAGUGUCUGACUGAACUCACCAGAAACUCCAGUUCAUUGUUAUUUCCCU